rnacentral:rRNA from 1 species
AGUGAACGCUGGCGGUAGGCCUAACACAUGCAAGUCGAACGGCAGCACAGUAAGAGCUUGCUCUUACGGGUGGCGAGUGGCGGACGGGUGAGGAAUACAUCGGAAUCUACUUUUUCGUGGGGGAUAACGUAGGGAAACUUCCGCUAAUACCGCAUACGACCUACGGGUGAAAGCAGUGGAUCUUCGGACCUUGCGCGAUUGAAUGAGCCGAUGUCGGAUUAGCUAGUUGGCGGGGUAAAGGCCCACCAAGGCGACGAUCCGUAGCUGGUCUGAGAGGAUGAUCAGCCACACUGGAACUGAGACCCGGUCCAGACUCCUACGGGAGGCAGCAGUGGGGAAUAUUGGACAAUGGGCGGAAGCCUGAUCCAGCCAUACCGCGUGGGUGAAGAAGGCCUUCGGGUUGUAAAGCCUUUUUGUUGGGAAAGAAAAGCAGCAGGUUAAUACCACGCUGUUCUGACGGUACCCAAAGAAUAAGCCCCGGCUAACUUCGUG